rnacentral:rRNA from 1 species
GGGUUGUGAGGUUAAGCGACUAAGCGUACACGGUGGAUGCCCUGGUAGUCAGAGGCGAUGAAGGACGUGCUAAUCUGCGAUAAGCGUCGGUAAGGUGAUAUGAACCAUUAUAACCGGCGAUUUCCGAAUGGGGAAACCCAGUGUGAUUCGUCACACUAUCAUUAACUGAAUCCAUAGGUUAAUGAGGCGAACCGGGGGAACUGAAACAUCUAAGUACCCCGAGGAAAAGAAAUCAACCGAGAUUCCCCCAGUAGCGGCGAGCGAACGGGGAGCAGCCCAGAGCCUGAAUCAGUGUGUGUGUUAGUGGAAGCGUCUGGAAAGGCGUGCGAUACAGGGUGACAGCCCCGUACACAAAAAUGCACAUAUUGUGAGCUCGAUGAGUAGGGCGGGACACGUGGUAUCCUGUCUGAAUAUGGGGGGACCAUCCUCCAAGGCUAAAUACUCCUGACUGACCGAUAGUGAACCAGUACCGUGAGGGAAAGGCGAAAAGAACCCCGGCGAGGGGAGUGAAAAAGAACCUGAAACCGUGUACGUACAAGCAGUGGGAGCACGCUUAGGCGUGUGACUGCGUACCUUUUGUAUAAUGGGUCAGCGACUUAUAUUCUGUAGCAAGGUUAACCGAAUAGGGGAGCCGAAGGGAAACCGAGUCUUAACUGGGCGUUAAGUUGCAGGGUAUAGACCCGAAACCCGGUGAUCUAGCCAUGGGCAGGUUGAAGGUUGGGUAACACUAACUGGAGGACCGAACCGACUAAUGUUGAAAAAUUAGCGGAUGACUUGUGGCUGGGGGUGAAAGGCCAAUCAAACCGGGAGAUAGCUGGUUCUCCCCGAAAGCUAUUUAGGUAGCGCCUCGUGAAUUCAUCUCCGGGGGUAGAGCACUGUUUCGGCAAGGGGGUCAUCCCGACUUACCAACCCGAUGCAAACUGCGAAUACCGGAGAAUGUUAUCACGGGAGACACACGGCGGGUGCUAACGUCCGUCGUGAAGAGGGAAACAACCCAGACCGCCAGCUAAGGUCCCAAAGUCAUGGUUAAGUGGGAAACGAUGUGGGAAGGCCCAGACAGCCAGGAUGUUGGCUUAGAAGCAGCCAUCAUUUAAAGAAAGCGUAAUAGCUCACUGGUCGAGUCGGCCUGCGCGGAAGAUGUAACGGGGCUAAACCAUGCACCGAAGCUGCGGCAGCGACGCUGAUGCGUUGUUGGGUAGGGGAGCGUUCUGUAAGCCUGUGAAGGUGUGCUGUGAGGUAUGCUGGAGGUAUCAGAAGUGCGAAUGCUGACAUAAGUAA